CCGACGGUGAGGGAUGAAAGCUGGGGGAGCAAACCGGAUUAGAUACCCGGGUAGUCCCAGCCGUAAACGAUGUGCGUUAGGUGUAUCGGUGACCACGGGUCACCGAGGUGCCGAAGAGAAAUCGUGAAACGUACCGCCUGGGAAGUACGGUCGCAAGGCUGAAACUUAAAGGAAUUGGCGGGGGAGCACCACAACAGGUGGAGCCUGCGGUUUAAUCGGACUCAACGCCGGGAAACUCACCAGAUAAGACAGCUGAAUGAUAGUCGGGCUGAAGACUCUACUUGACUAGCUGAGAGGAGGUGCAUGGCCGUCGUCAGUUCGUACUGUGAAGCAUCCUGUUAAGUCAGGCAACGAGCGAGACCCACGCCAACAGUUGCU
rnacentral:rRNA from 1 species